GAUCCUGGCUCAGGAUGAACGCUAGCGACAGGCCUAACACAUGCAAGUCGAGGGGUAACAGGGAGCUUGCUCCGCUGACGACCGGCGCACGGGUGAGUAACGCGUAUGCAACCUGCCCGCGGGAUCGGGAUAGCCCCCCGAAAGGGGGAUUAACACUGGAUGCGGCUAUUGGGGGGCAUCCCCGGAUAGCCAAAUGCGAAGCUCGCGGAUGGGCAUGCGUCCGAUUAGCUGGUUGGGGGGUAACGGCCCACCAAGGCGACGAUCGGUAGGGGUCCUGAGAGGGAGGUCCCCCACACUGGUACUGAGACACGGACCAGACUCCUACGGGAGGCAGCAGUGAGGAAUAUUGGUCAAUGGGCGAGAGCCUGAACCAGCCAUGUCGCGUGGAGGAAAUAAGGAUCUAUGGUUCGUAAACUCCUUUUGCGCGGGGAUAAAGUGGCGGACUUGUCCGCUAUUGCAGGUACCGCGCGAAUAAGCAUCGGCUAACUCCGUGCCAGCAGCUGC
rnacentral:rRNA from 1 species